rnacentral:rRNA from 1 species
GUCGUAACAAGGUUUCCGUAGGUGAACCUGCGGAAGGAUCAUUACCAUAAUAUCCAUCCUUUCAUACAACCCAGCGAACCCCUCUGGGUACUUCUUCAUUGGAGUGCCCAUCGACUGCCUUCGGGCCGGCCGCGCAGAAGCUCCUCUUAGGAAGAGUGGAUAUGCGGUCGGUUCCGUCCCAAGUCAUCCACACGCCAAUUCAUAAAACAAUACGGACGAACCAGCGAAUGCUGAACGCCGAAAGACUGCGAGCGACUGCUCUUUUACGAGAGCGGACCUCCGGUUUUGACAAAAGCGAAAAUGCCAUACAACUCUUACCGGCGGAUGUCUUGGCUCCCACAACGAUGAAGAACGCAGCGAAAUGCGAUACGUAAUGCGAAUUGCAGAAUCCAGUGAAUCAUCAAACCUUUGAACGCAUCUUGCGCUUCCGGGAUAUGCCUGGGAGCAUGCGUGACGGAGUGCUUGUCACACCCCUCACCCCACGGUGUUCAUUCACCUGUGGCGGUGGAAUCUGCGGCUCGAGCCGGCUCUUUGAUGGCCGGCUCGUGGCGCCAAGUCAAGCUCUCGUCGCGCCGUCUCUUGACACUUCGGUUCGUCCGAGGCGGGGUAUCAGGCUUUCGAGCAUUUACCACCCGGCCGAGAAUCAUAAGUUCGCACCCCUCACGGGGCGCGGGGAGGCGGCGGAGAGGACCAGUCCCAAAGCUCAUUCGAGCCGAGGGACACCGUCUCCAUAACUGGAGACACUCAUUUCUUGAGUCUCCGUUACGCAAGAAGACCCGCUGAAUUUAAGCAUAUAACUAAGCGGAGGAAAAGAAACUAACAAGGAUUCCCUCAGUAACGGCGAGUGAAGCGGGACCAGCCCAGAUUGUAAACUGGCCGCCACGGCGGUCGGGUUGUAGUCUACAGAGGCAAGACCAGGCGCGACCCGGGGAGAAGUCCCUUGGAACAGGGCAUCGGAGAGGGUGACAAUCCCGUCUGUGCCUCGGGUUAAGCCGUACGGUCUGUCUUCGACGAGUCGGUUUGCUUGGGAUUGCAGACCAAACAGGUGGUAAAUUCCAUCUAAGGCUAAAUAUUGGUGGGAGACCGAUAGCGAACAAGUACCGUGAGGGAAAGAUGCAAAGAACUUUGAAAAGAGAGUUAAAAAGGGCCUGAAACUGGUAAGAGGGAACCGAACCGCAGAAGUGGUGAUGUUCGCGCAUCUUCCGUCCGGCUGCUGCCGGGCGUACUUGUGCGCGAGCGUAGGUCAGCGUGGGUUGGGGCGUGGGAGUCGUUCCCGGUAGGUCUUCGGACACUCUGCCGGGUUCAGGCCGUGCCUAAGACCUUCGCUGACGAAAUUCUUCGGUUCAUCCCGUCUUGAAACACGGACCAAGGAGUCUAAUAUGCGAGCGAGUGCGUUGGUGGCAAACCAAAGCGCGUAAUGAAAGUGAGACUGGACAGAGGGGCAACCCGCAUGUUCAACCGGCCGUGCGUCUACGGGCAAGUGGUCUGAGUGUAGCUUGUAUAUUGGGACCCGAAAGAUGGUGAACUAUGCGUGA